rnacentral:misc_RNA from 1 species
GAUGAAGAACGUAGCGAAAUGCGAUACGUAAUGUGAAUUGCAGAAUUCAGUGAAUCAUCGAGUCUUUGAACGCACAUUGCGCCCCCUGGUAUUCCGGGGGGCAUGCCUGUCCGAGCGUCAUUGCUGCCCUCAAGCACGGCUUGUGUGUUGGGCCUCCGUCCUCCUCCCGGGGGACGGGCCCGAAAGGCAGCGGCGGCACCGCGUCCGGUCCUCGAGCGUAUGGGGUUUCGUCACCCGCUCUUGUAGGCCCGGCCGGCGCUUGCCGACACAUCAAUCUUUUUUCCAGGUUGACCUCGGAUCAGGUAGGGAUACCCGCUGAACUUAAGCAUAUCAAUAAGCGGAGGA